ACUUAAUUACGAACACCUGACCUGCAGUGCAGCAGAAUUCAGAGAGACGCACUAACUUGCACAGCAUUGAAUGGAAAAGGCUUUGUCCAUGUCUAGUUGAGGGGCAUCAAGAACACGCAGAUGGCCUAAACCUGUGUCAGCCUGGACAGACUGGAGUUCUGCUAUUCCUUGCCAAGGCUUUUGUAUGGAUGUCUGACUACUACUGUGUUCUCUAAAGGUAUUACUGGAGCAAAACAACAGCACCUGUUACAGUGAAAUUUGUAUUCAUAAAAAUAGUGAUACAUGUGUAGCAG
ensembl:processed_transcript